UACGAAGGGGGCUAGCGUUGCUCGGAAUCACUGGGCGUAAAGGGUGCGUAGGCGGGUCUUUAAGUCAGAGGUGAAAUCCUGGAGCUCAACUCCAGAACUGCCUUUGAUACUGAGGAUCUUGAGUAUGGGAGAGGUGAGUGGAACUGCGAGUGUAGAGGUGAAAUUCGUAGAUAUUCGGAAGAACACCAGUGGCGAAGGCGGCUCACUGGCCCGGUACUGACGCUGAAAUACGAAAGCGUGGGGAGCAAACAGG
rnacentral:rRNA from 1 species